rnacentral:rRNA from 1 species
GAUCUCAGUUCGGAUUGCAGGCUGCAACCCGCCUGCAUGAAGUCGGAAUCGCUAGUAAUCGCGGGUCAGCAUACCGCGGUGAAUACGUUCCCGGGCCUUGUACACACCGCCCGUCACACCACGAAAGUUGGUAACACCCGAAGCCGGUGGCCUAACCCUUAGGGGAGGGAGCUGUCGAAGGUGGGACUGAUGAUUGGGGUGAAGUCGUAACAAGGUAAC